UUUUUCGGAGAGUUUGAUCCUGGCUCAGGACGAACGCUGGCGGCGUGCCUAAUACAUGCAAGUCGAGCGAACGGAUGGAGAGCUUGCUCUCCUGACGUUAGCGGCGGACGGGUGAGUAACACGUGGGCAACCUGCCUGUAAGACCGGGAUAACUUCGGGAAACCGGAGCUAAUACCGGAUAAUUCCUUUCCUCGCAUGAGGAAAGGUUGAAAGGCGGCUUCGGCUGUCACUUACAGAUGGGCCCGCGGCGCAUUAGCUAGUUGGUGAGGUAACGGCUCACCAAGGCGACGAUGCGUAGCCGACC
rnacentral:rRNA from 1 species